CCUACGGGAGGCAGCAGUAAGGAAUAUUGGUCAAUGGACGCAAGUCUGAACCAGCCAUGCCGCGUGCAGGAAGACGGCCUAUGGGUUGUAAACUGCUUUUGCAGGGGAAUAUGUACUCUGAGAAUAAGGAUCGGCUAACUCCGUGCCAGCAGCCGCGGUAAUACGGAGGAUCCAAGCGUUAUCCGGAUUUAUUGGGUUUAAAGGGUGCGUAGGUGGCUUUUUAAGUCAGGGGUGAAAGACGGUAGCUUAACUAUCGCAGUGCCCUUGAUACUGAAGAGCUUGAAUGAACUAGAGGUAGGCGGAAUGUGACAAGUAGCGGUGAAAUGCAUAGAUAUGUCACAGAACACCAAUUGCGAAGGCAGCUUACUAUGUUUAUUGACACUGAGGCACGAAAGCGUGGGGAUCAAACAGGAUUAGAUACCCUUGUAGUC
rnacentral:rRNA from 1 species